GGUAUAUAGAUCUGUAUGCUCUGGGAUGCAAUAGGAAUAGCGUGUGCUGCAAGCUAGCGCCAGUAACCGCCAAUCCCGAACCAAUAUACCCAGACAAACCAUUUCCAGCAUACACGUACUACUUGGCGAACAUCACCAGGAAUUGAAGUCAAACAACAAAUGGAAUGCAACCAUCCAAAAGGUUCAAAUUGCAAGGACCCCAUUCCAACUAACUCCAACGUUACACAUACGCUAGCUAACAACAUUGGUCAUUUUUAAACCCCCCCCCCCCGAAUAAAAACAAAAAAGAACUAUUUUGUUGUUUGUUUCUAGCAUCCUGAAUACUCUACCAAUCAUGGUCUUCCUCAUGAUAUUGCGGUGGUGCAGCUUUCACGCACAGUAAAGGUGACCGGACAUUACGUCAGAACAGCGUGUAUAGCGUGUAUGCCACACGAUGAUGACAUGUUUGAUGACGCAGACUAUUGUUAUAUCAGUGGUUGGGGAUACACUCAAGGUACUCCAGUGUCAUAUGAUGAGGUUUAGUCUUUGACUGUAUUCCCUACUCACUAACGCCACACUAGAGUAUGAACGACCUUGAACCUUUGGUAAAAAUGUGCAUGUUACUUCCGGUUGAUGCAGAAAACUUGUUUCUUUAAGUUUGGAUUGAUUUCAUUAUUUACUUUUCAUUUUAAGAAAUUCAUUUAAAAAAGAUCUCUUACAACCUGUGUAUUUUUUUCAAUUUACAUAAUACAGUGUAUUAACUGUUUGUAGUUGUGUAGAUUUAUAAAUGUACAUACAAACAAUAUACUUUAAAUAUCCACCAGGUACAUGUACCAGCCUACUAUAUUUGAUAAUGUACUUCUUUCAUGCAUUGUUCAUGCCUUGUACUCAUUGUUAUAUGUAAUAUAUGUAAUUAAAAUACUUUG
rnacentral:misc_RNA from 1 species